GAUGAACGCUGGCGGCGUGCCUAAUACAUGCAAGUCGAGCGAACGGACGAGAAGCUUGCUUCUCUGAUGUUAGCGGCGGACGGGUGAGUAACACGUGGAUAACCUACCUAUAAGACUGGGAUAACUUCGGGAAACCGGAGCUAAUACCGGAUGAUAUUUUGAACCGCAUGGUUCAAAAGUGAAAGACGGUCUUGCUGUCACUUAUAGAUGGAUCCGCGCUGCAUUAGCUAGUUGGUAAGGUAACGGCUUACCAAGGCAACGAUGCAUAGCCGACCUGAGAGGGUGAUCGGCCACACUGGAACUGAGACACGGUCCAGACUCCUACGGGAGGCAGCAGUCGGGAAUCUUCCGCAAUGGGCGAAAGCCUGACGGAGCAACGCCGCGUGAGUGAUGAAGGUCUUCGGAUCGUAAAACUCUGUUAUUAGGGAAGAACAUAUGUGUAAGUAACUGUGCACAUCUUGACGGUACCUAAUCAGAAAGCCACGGCUAACUACGUG
rnacentral:rRNA from 1 species